GCUGGGCACAGUGGCACGUGUCUGUAGUCCCAGCUACUUGGGAGACUGAGGUGGGAGGAUCGCUUGAGCCCAGGAGUUCUGGGCUGUAGGGCGCUAUGCCCGUCAGGUGUCUGCACUAAGUUCGGCAUCAAUAUGGUGACCUCCCGGGAGCAGGGGACCAUCAGGUUGCCUAAGGAAGGGUGAACUGGCCCAGGUCGGAAACGGAGCAGGUCAAAAUUCACGUGCUGAUCAGUAGUGGGAUCGCGCCUGUGAAUAGCCACUGCACUCCAGCCUGGGCAACAUAGUGAGACCCCGUCUCU
ensembl:misc_RNA Metazoa_SRP Metazoan signal recognition particle RNA